rnacentral:misc_RNA from 1 species
UCUCCCGUGAGGGAGCAGUCUCGCCUGGCCCUAAGGCAACAGGCAACAGGGGUUGCGUUCGUUACCCCACUGAAGGGAACAGUUCAAACCACGAACUGACGACGACCAUGCAUCACCUGUCCAGCACCCUCGAAGGCUUCUCGACUUUCAUCAAGAAUGCAGCUGGAUUUCUAAUCUUGGUAAGGUUCUUCGUUUGUCGUCGAAUUGAGCCACAUAAUCCACCACUUGUGCGAGUCCCCGUCUAUUCCUUUGAGUUUUAAUCUUGCGAUCGUACUACCCAGGCGGCUCGCUUACCGCGUUAGCUUAGUCUCGCAGAGGGUCGAUACUCCGCGAAACGAGCGAGCAAUGUUGAGGGCCAGGACUAC